ensembl:lncRNA novel transcript, antisense to WASF3
GAUAUUAACUAGCUUCCAGGAGGCGGAGGCCAGCGCCUCCCUGCAUCCCCGUCUCGGCAUUAAACCAAACGUGGACGCCCUUGAUAGACUUUUAAAGGGAAAGCAGGAAUCGUCCUUUACACUUCACCUGCUUUUUACAGCGCAGGGGCCUCUGACAUUUGUGUAAAAUCCACCCGCCAGGAACCGCAGGCUCAGAGCUCAGAAGCGCCCUGUCCUCUUCAGGAGCCCGGGGGCUGACGCCACUCCUUCGAGGGGGCCAAGGCUGAAAAAUCAGCUGGCAAAAGGCAGAUUAAUUGGAGAAAAGGCAUACACGUUUAUGUAACGUAUGUACACAGGAGCCUUCAGCAUAAAGAACGAACGUACAGGGGAACUUGUCCACUUUUAUGCUUCUGUCCAACAAAGUAUGGACGGCCGGGUAGAAUAUGAUCAGACAAGAAGGGUGUGAUCUAACGCUGAGACCGAGUGAGGACACCCAGCAAGGCCUGUCCGGCUAGAUUCUGCCUGGCCUCUCUGAGCACACAUUCCUUCCUUCUGGAAUGAGGGGGUCUUAUGACCAGCAGUCAAACAAGGAAUUUAUAGUGACAGCCUAGUGGUGACCAGCUCUAGGAAAAGACGCUGAAGAGGACGCUCCCAGCACCUGGGACAGAGGAGAGAACAGACACACCAGGGAAGCAGCCUUGGAAAGGGGAUGCAGACAUGAGGCUUUUCAGGGCUUCAGAUCUACAUGACUGCACCCAAUGGACAGGCUCUGUACAAUCACUGCCCACAAGCCCAACAGGUAGCCACUCGAGACACACACACUGAGGGGACUUCGGGGCUGGCUGACUUGCUCAGAUGCAUUUUAACAAAAACCCCCAUCACCAUCCUGCUCACAUUCCUACCGUCACCUCAAACAUCUCUGCUUUUAGCUCCAGAUUCUUCUCAACAUAACUGAGUAACUAACCACAAUGGAUAUGAAAUACUGUUGAGUAGGUUAAAGUCCUUAAUAAGUCAAGCGUCUUAGCAUAUUUUUGAAGUCGUAUCUAUAAUCAAAGCCUGGAGCACCUGUUUGUUCAACACAGUUAUCUUUCAUCCAGAAUUACAAAAUAUAGAAGCUGUCAUUCUUGAGUUUCCCCAUGGGUCCCUGGUAUUGCCCACGUGGGAACAACAGGAAGGGUGGAGGUGAGGGCACAGCACUGUACUACAGCUGCAGGGCUGAUCAAGGGAAUCUCAUGAGGUGCUUUUUAUCAUUUAAUGUGCCAACAACAGGAGGACAACCAUGUGCUUCUAGAACAGGGUGAAGGCCCUCCUCACGGGAGUGAUCCCUAAUCUGGCCCCAGCACCGUGAAAGGUGAAUAGCUGUCAAUAUCUACUUUCACCUAAACCUAAGCUUUUAAAAUUCUGACCAAGUGGUGAAAGGUGCCAUCUAAAGUGCUCUCUGUUGCUCGCUGAGGAGCUAAGAACUCCUGCGGCUCACUCAGGACACAGGUGUCAGGAAACUAAAGGAGCAGGGCUCCUUUGCAGCCCAGGCCCUGUGCCGCAGCUCUGCCCAGCUCAGCGGUGUAGCUCCCAGAGUCAUGGACUGCUCGCAUCUGUUCUGGCCGGCUGGUGCCCACACUGGAGAGACUGGCAAGUAUCUUGAGUGUCAUCCCCAAUGGCCCCAGGAAGGAAAAUGGACUCUGUUCUUCACUUUCAUUACUGUUGAGCUGCUGAAUUCUCUUGCAAAAACCAUCAACAGGCAUUUACUAAGCAAAUGCCCACAGGGAACCCAGCCUGAAAAGGGCCCUUCCAAUUUCAUAUUUGACAGGCAUGUGCAGAGGUAAUGAAAUUAUUCAGCAGAGCAUCAGAUUCACUCAGAGGCUACCAAGCCAAGAAACUGAAAGCAGAAACACUGGAUUCUCCCUGUUUGUUGAACCUUUCCCUCUAAAACCAACUUAUUCAGAAACACAUCCUUUAAAAAAACAAAAGGAAAAACCAAAGCGGUGAAACAAUAUCACUUACUGGUUGGAAGACAUCACUCUGACAUAGUCAUUAGUCUUGCAGAGACCUAACACCAGGCAGCUUCACAAACACACAGCAAGUCUGCAGAGUUAUAUUGAUCAGUAAGAGUAAACCCAAACUGCACUAAAUACUCUCAUGGCCAAGAGGAAAGCAGAUGCUGUUUUCAGGACAAUGUGAUAGUGACAGCCUAUUUCCUCAUGUGCAGCACAAUUUGCUAUGUUUAGUGGCACUUAAGUAUUACACAGUAAAUACUGAAAAGACCCAGAAUUUUUGGAUGUGCAGAAGCAAUAUCACAUUGUUUAUACAAAAGGUGCUAUGCUACGGGAUUAGAAUACCACUAUUUGGGUGUAGAGACCACUUAAAAUCUUCAACACGCUCCCACACGCGGCCUCUCCGCCGGCCUUUGCUCAGUCGGACCAGUCGUUCUCGUCGAACUCUGAGUCGUCGUCAGAGUCGCUGUACUCCACGGCAAUGCGCCGGGACAGGAUCGUGGCCACGUCAUUCCCCACUGGCUCCCGCUUGGCCUCCUGCUCCCGCUGCUCCUGCACCUUUUUCAGUUGAAUUCCUGCAGACACAACACGUGGUUCAGAAUCACAUCCUUUUGCUGGCUCCA